rnacentral:rRNA from 1 species
UACGGAAGGGGCAAGCGUUGUUCGGAAUCAUUGGGCGUAAAGGGCGCGUAGGUGGUUUUGUGUGUCUACCGUGAAAGCAUACAGCUCAACUGUAUUUUGUCGGUAGAAACUGCAGGACUUGAGGCUGGGAGGGGCUGGUGGAAUUCCCUGUGUAGCGGUGAAAUGCGUAGAUAUCAGGAGGAACACCUGCGGUGUAGACGGCUUUCUGGACCAUUACUGACACUGAGACACGAAAGCGUGGGUAGCAAACAGG